rnacentral:lncRNA from 1 species
GAAAACAAUUUCUGUUUUUAAGCUAUCCAGUCCAUGGUAUUUUGUUAUGGCAGCCCUAUCAGACUAACACAGGUGGUUAGAUUACUGUUCUUUAUACAUACGUUUUAUCAAUCAGAUCAUUAGGUUUUGAGUUCUCUUGGCUGUGUUUUAAUAAUGUCUCCUAUAAAUAGAUUGUAACAUUAUUAAUACAUAAGUAUAUUUAAAAAGGGGAAAAGAUUAGUGAAAUCAAUGCCCUUAGUAGAGUUAUAUUAAAAUUUCAUCACAACAAUGAGAGUGUAGAAAUUAGACACAAACUUGAAGUUGGGAAAUUUAAUAUAAGGAUAAUCUAUGUUCCAAUUUUCUAAAUGAUGGCAAUAUAAACAAUAGAGAAAAUUAAUGGAAACCUAAGUAAUAAAAAUACUAUUGUGUAAAUAUAUUCUUUAAAUUAUUAUAUUGUUUCUGGAAUUUAUAAUUUUUAGGGACUGUGUGUAUGUGUCCCUCCUCCAUCCCCAAAGUUCAUGUGCGAAAGUCCUAAAAUGCAGUGUGGCUGCAUUUUGAGUAAGAAAGUAAUUGAUGUUAAAUACGGUCAAAAUAAGUUGUUAAAUAUGGCUUGGCUCCGUGUCUCCACCCAAAUCUCACCUUGCAUUGUAAUAAUUCCCACAUGCCUAAGGAGGGACCUUGUGGGAGGUAACUGAAUCAUGAUCCUGGGUUUUUGCCAUGCUGUUCUCAUGAUAGUGAAUAAGUCUCACCGGAUCUAGUGGUUUUAUAAAGUGGAGCUCCCCUGCAAAUGCCCUCUUGCCUGCCGCCAUGUAAGAUGUCCCUUAUUCGUCUGUCAUCUUCCGCCAUGAUUGUGAGGCUUCCCUAGCCAUGUGGAACUGCAAGAAUUCUAUCACUGAACUACCAAUGCCUUUGGAAGUAUCCAAUAUUUUGGUUGUUUUGCUACCUAUGGGAUCAUGCAUAUCAGUACUUGGAAAUAAAUGAUGAAAGCAGCAGCUCAGCCACCUGUCCUCAAUGAUGGGAGGGCAUUCACCUCUACAGGAAAGAAGACAGAUGGUCAACCUGAUCUAUGCUGCUUGUAAGCAUGGUAAUGGCACACUUCCUGUCAAACAAGUUGGUGACAUUGACUAGGCAUGGCUUCUGGGAAAAUGUCAUGUAAGCUUUGUUACCAUCUGAGCAAAAUGGAGAUGUUCCUUGACUGAAAUAUUUAGCAUGUGUGUGUGUGUGUGUGUUUAAUUUAUGUGGCCACAGUUAUUACAUGGAAGACACAUAUUUUAAUUUUGGCCAUAAAAUAUACUCAACAUCAUAAGGAAGCACCUGGAGAGCUGUGUUCCUUUUCCUGAGGCUUCCCUGUUCCUUGUGAUAACUUACAUACUUGGAAUUAUAGAGACUUAAUUUUGGUUAAAAUCUCUAAUUUGUGUGAAUUCAAUGCCUUGGGUGAUUACAUCAACUUUGUAUUGGUCAGGGUUCUCCACAGAAACAGAACCAAUAAGAUGUACAUAUACAAAGACAGACAAGGCCCACAAAGAGAAGUUGGCAAACUGGAGACCCAGAAGAGCCCGUGGCGUAGUUAAUGUUCCAGUGCUGGCAGGCUCAAGACCCAGAAAAAGCCAGAAUUUCAGUUCAAGUCUAAAGGCAGGAAAGAACCAAGAUCCCAGCUCAAGGCAGUCUGUGCAGUUCCUUUCUGCUGAUGGGAUGGUCAGCAUUUUUGUUCCAUUGAGGCCGUCAACAGACUAGAUGAGGUCCAACCACAUUAGGGAGGGCAAGCUGUUUUUCUCAGCCUAUCAAUUCAAAUGCUAUUUUCAUCCAGAAACAUCCUCACAGAAAUACUCACAAUAAAUUUUGGCCAAAUGUCUGGGAACCCUGUGACUCAGUCAAGCUGACAUGCAAAAUUAACCAUCGCACAUAGUAAGCAUCCUUCCUUUUAAAAAAAUUUUUAAAAUGAUACACAACUUUUGAUAUACCUUACUUUUUUAACUUAAAAAUGACUUAGAGGGGCCGGGCGCGGUGGCUCACGCCUGUAAUCCCAGCCCCUUGGGAGACCGAGGCGGGCAGAUCACGAGGUCAGGAGAUCGGGACCAUCCUGGCUAACACGGUGAAACCCCGUCUCUACUAAAAAUAUAAAAACAAAAUUAACCAGGGCAAGGUGACGGCCACCUGUAGUCCCAGUUAUUUAGGAGGCUGAGUCAGGAGAAUGGCGUGAAUCCGGGAGGCGGAGCUUGCAGUGAGCCGAGAUCGCGCCACUGCACUCCAGCCUGGGCGACAGAGGGAGACUCCAUCUCAAACAAAACAAAACAAAACAAAACAAAACAAAACAAAACAAAACAAAACAAAAAAACGACUUAGAGAACUCUUCUAGUUAAACUGGAAUAAUGGAAAUUAAUAUUUUUAAUGGCUGUGUAAUUUUUAUGGCAUGUAUUUUCCUGGUGUAUACACCAUGCUUUGUCUAUUUUUUAAAACUGAUGACAAGAUCUCUGUUUCUAAUUUUUGCUACUUAAAAAAAUGCUGAAAUUAACAUCCUUGUACAUAUACCUUUACAUGACUUCACUUUUAUUUCUUUUGUAUAGAUUCUUAGGUGUCAAUGCUGCAUCUAAAGAUGAAAGUAUUUUUUAUUUUAAUAAUAGUCCCCAGAAAAAAAACCAAAAAUGUGUGUAGACACUCUCAUACUUUACAUUACAAAAUAAUGGACUCUCAUACAUUAAUUAUGUUAUAAGUUCUAUGAAGAAUGAACACAUGUUCUAAUAGUUUGUGAAACACGAAGAUUGCCAGUCACUCUUUGUUCCUUUGCUACUGCAGAACCAAUGUAUUCUGAUUUGUGCUUCAGUGUUUUACAGAGUUAUCAGUAAAACAGCUUUCUUUUUUUGUUGUUGUUCUUAUAUUCUUAAGCCCUAGCUAUCUUUUAAUGAUUUCUAUGAAAUCAUCACCUAGUAUCAAAUGAUUCAUAUGAGACAUACACGCUCCUACAAUCAUCAUCAUUUUGAACUCUGAAUCUUCAUCCUUUCUUAAAGCAUGUGGGCUUCAAUUCUCUCUUUCCUUAGCUUACUUAUUUCCCAGAAAGUAAUUUUUAGAACGUGACUCUCAUUAGCAUUCUGCAAUUUUUUCAAUCCUGUAUAAGAGAUUAUAGACCUAGAAAAGUGGAGCCUUUUAUAAAAUGGUACUGAGUAGUUGAGAAGGAAGAGGUUUCUGGAAAUGCUAUGAAAGUUGCCAUUGUGAAGUCAUUGUUGUAAUGUUAAAAGAGUAAUGAGAUGAAAGACUAGCAGAGCUAAAGGAGAGACAGAGAAAUUUGAUGUCAAUUAUAAUGAAAUAGAGAAGAUAUUAUAUUAGAGUGGUAGCAAGAGAAAAUGGGUUUGAAGCUUAGAAAAUCAUAAGAAUUUUUGUAGUUAAAAGGGUUCCAUGGAGAAAGAUUUGAGAAGCAUGGCAGAAUAAGGAAAUAAUGGAACAAAAUCCCUAGAGAUAGAAUAGAUUGAACAGAGGAUACAAAUGGCGGAAUUGGCUCUGGUGAAAUGAUAGUCAACGUCUCACUCAAAGAUAGAACAGAAUAAAGAGAAGGUGGAUGAACAUAAAGGGAAGUUUCAUGCAUAAAGAAAGUUCUGAAAGUACAUAGUAAAAAUAAGUUUUACAUUUUUUCAAUUAAUUAGGAACCCAGGUCAGCUUUUGAAAGUAACAGGGUGAAAUAAGGAAGCCAAGUAACUGAUCUCCCCAAUAGAAAGAAGACUUAGCCUUUUCCACUGGGCCCAGAGAACCAGAUUGUGUUGCUUCAUGUAUCUGGCCUGGAUACACGAGUGGGGAAGGACAUGUUCUUGGCUGUUGUGUGUGGUGUCAAAGGAACAAUAAGAUAAAUGACUUUAUAGAAAAGUUAAGAUUUAAACCCAGGGAUACAUUCCAAUAGGGCAAUCACUCUAUAAAGGUGACAUAAAGAGAAAUUGGGAAGGGUGGAAGAUAAUAAAAUAUAAUCUUGAGAAACCAAAAUAAAUAUGGUGGGUAGAACAUAAAGUUUAUAGAAAUUCUGUAAGCUCUGUGACAAAAUUCACAACUGUUAUAUGUAUGUGUGCAUGUGUGUACUUAUGUAAGUUUAAAUAGACAAGCUGUUGUCUUAUGCAAUGUGUUGAGGAAGCUAUUCAGAAGACAAACUUAGCCAGGUGCUGUAGUUACACUUGUAAUCCCAGUACUUUGGGAAGCCAAGGCAGGCAGAUCACUUGAGCUCAGGAGUUUGAGCCCAGCCUGGGCAACAUGGCAAAACCCCAUCUCUACAAAAAUGCAAAAAUUUGCUGGUUUUGGUGGUGCCUGUGUUCCCAGCUACUCUGGAGGCUAAGAUGGGAGGACCAUUUGAGCUCAGCAGGUUGAGGCUGUAGUGAGGUACGAUCAUGCCACUGCACUCUAGCCCCGGUUACCAAGCAAAACAUUGUCGAAAAAAGAGAGGAAGGAAGGGAGGAAGGAAGGAAGGAAGGAAGGAAGGAAGGAAGGAAGGAAGGAAAGAAAAGACAAACUCAACUCUUAUUUGGGAGCUUAAUAAAAGUGGAAAAGGACAUAUUAGAUUAUGUAUUAAGUAAAAUAAUUUAAAUGAGUAAAAGUUAACAAUGAGAAAUUACCUAAUUCUGAGUGACAGGAAUUUUAAGUAGACAAUCAUCUAUAUUUACAAUUUUCCUUUGCAACGUUAGCAGUGAUGCGGUGGUAAGUGAAGAAAGGCUCAUCCAAACAUAGCAAGUUUUAUGUUUGAUCUCAUUAAAGGUCAGAGGAAAAUCAAGAGUGCUCUGGAUAGGACAACUGACAUGGUUCAAUGUAGACAGGAUAACAAAAAAAAAAAUUAAGACUAAAAGUAGAAUGAAAAACUAAUACAUGGAAAAUUUCUGAAGAAUACAUGAGCAGAUGAAGGAAAAUAUCAGAUGCACUAAACAUGAUCAGAUGAUAAAGGGGAAGGAUGAGAUAGAAUAAAUAGACACAAAAACGUUAAAGUUUUCAGUUUGCAAGUGAUGCCGUUCUGUGUCAUUAAGAGUGGAAGUCCGAGAUCAAGGUGUCAUCAGGGUUAUUUUUUCCUGAAGCCUCUCUCCUUGUCCUGCCUUCUCGCUGUGUUCUCACAUGACCUCUCUGUGAACAAGCAUCUGUAGUGGUUCUGCCUCUUCUUAAAAAAAUCACAGGUCAUAUUGGAUUAGGGCUCACUCAGAUUACCUCUUCUAACAUUACAUACCUCAUUAAGGUCCUAUCUCCAAUUACAGUCACCUUCUGAGGGGGGCUAGGGGUUAGGACUUCAACAUCUGAAUUUGGGCACGGGCAUAAUUUAGUCAAUAGUAAUCGUGUCGUAGCCUUGCCUGUGGGUGUAAGAAGGACAAUAGAGAGAAAAAGGAUCAAGAAAAUGGAAGAAAUAAACAUAAAGAUAGUAACUAACCAAAGGUGAAGAGAGGCAAGCGAAGUAAUUACUCUGUGAAUGUAAAUUUGAAUCAUAUAAUUUUGGAAUACAUGAGGUAGCUAAUUGAUUAAAGCUAUGUUAACAAUUUAUUUGGGCUCUUUCUUCUGUCAGACAUUAGAAUAACUGCUUUAUUUCCAUUUACCAUGUCAUAUUCCUAACAAUUUCGUGAAGUUGGUGCUAUUGCUAAGCCUCUUGUACAGAUAAAAAUAUCUAAGACUCAGAAAAAAAGGCUCAGCAAAUUGUCCACCAUCACAAAGUAAUACAAACUGAGAUUUAGACCCAGAAUGUUUCAAUUGUAGAGCCUUUACUUUUAGACUUAACUAUCAGACACAAAAACUAUAUUAACUUAUCAAGUUUGUCUUUCUUCACUUAAAGACUUAAUAUUAUGGAUUUUACAAGCUAUUUGAAUUUGAAUAAUAUGUCUGACUAAUACUCUUUAAAAAAUCAUUUGUAACAAACACAUUACAGCCUAUGCUUUUCUAUCUGAUGCAUAACUAGCUGAAAAAAAGCUUAAAUAUGGAUUAGGUUGGUUAUGUUUUAUGUUGCCUAUGUCUUUAUUCUCUUUCCAAGUCAGUUCUUUCCCAGCUGAUUUUUAUGAUCUCUAUAUUUUUUGUUCUGUAUUAUUAGAAAAGUUAACAGAGAGUUCAAACAGUUCACCAUAGAACUGAUUCUUAAAGUCUUUUCUCACAAAAAUGUGACAUGAGGGCUAGCCAUAGCACAAAUUUAGAUAUAAAUAAAAACUAAAUAACAUUAUAUGUGUACCUAUAUAUAUAAAUAUGUGUGUAUAUAUGUGUGUGUAUACAUAUAUGUGUAUAUUAAAAAUUUUUUCUAAUAUUUUAACUAUGUGUGAUACAUACUAUGGUAUACUAUACUCAC